CAGUCGCCGCGGGAAUACGUAGGGUGCGAGCGUUAAUCGGAAUUACUGGGCGUAAAGCGUGCGUAGGCGGUUUGUUAAGUCUGUUGUGAAAUCCCCGGGCUCAACCUGGGAAUGGCAAUGGAUACUGGCAAGCUAGAGUGUGUCAGAGGAUGGUGGAAUUCCCGGUGUAGCGGUGAAAUGCGUAGAGAUCGGGAGGAACAUCAGUGGCGAAGGCGGCCAUCUGGGACAACACUGACGCUGAGGCACGAAAGCGUGGGAGCAAACAGGAUUAGAUACCCGUGUAGUCCCUGUCUCUUAUACA
rnacentral:rRNA from 1 species